rnacentral:lncRNA from 1 species
AUUAGAAACAUGGUCCCCACUCUCUUCCUAUCUCCCCAGCACUCAUCACCUCACAAAGCAGGGGGGGACCUGUUUACUUUUCCUGGCGCUCUCCCCCAGGCUAGAACGUGAUCUUCUUCCUACGCAGGGACAGUGUUUUAUUCAUCUUUGUACCCACUGCCAUCUCAUCUGGCUUGGAACAGGCUCCGGAUAAAUAUUUUUUAAAUAUGUGCAUGAAUUAAUGAGAGACUCGAGAUUUAGUCCCCAAACUCUCUGACCUCCCUCGAGUGACUUUAAGCCUUUAGAGCCCUUAUCUGUUAAGAAAAAAAGAAAAAAAUGUGGGUUUUUCGUAAUCCUCGUAAUCCGCGCCCUGUCUACUUCUCUGGGGUUAUUGUGAAGAUCAAAUAAGCGUUGAUGUGGACCUAUGAUGGCUUCAGAGACUAUUAACUUGGCCAGGCUCAACUGCAUUUCCUGGAAUUAUCUUUCCUGCAUGUUUGCAGUUCAGAUGGACCACAGGGAAGAUUCUUGGAAGGUUCUUGCAAGAUUCAGAAGGCAAGAGAGGCUGCAGCCGUGUUUUGCAGUUGACACACGUUGCUGCUGAUCUGCUGACUCACCUCACUGGAGUGAAGCAGCCUGCCACAACACCCGCAACCUUCCCCGGCAACUUCUUGCUACUUUUCGACUCCCAGCCGCGUGUAUGUGUUCAGCUCUGUGAUGAAGGGCUAGGCUUCUGCAGGACAGCCUCACCACUGUGGUCAGAGGCAACAAGAAUAGCCACGGGCUUCAGGCUGCCAUCCUGGGGCUCUAGCUUGUGCUCGUGGGUUCUUGCUCUCCCUACUUGACAUCUGCCUUUCCUCUCGACUGCCUAUCCUGUGGACCUGACACCAGCAUCAGACUUGACACGCAGCCUGACAAAGACUGCUUACCCGGUUCCCACAAAUGCAUAAGCCAAUUCUCCAUAACAAAUCCCAUAAAAUAAUUUACAUGUAUAUAACUCCUAUUUCCACUUUUCCAGUUGAACUCCGGCAGAUUUACCCAUCCUGUGCUAGGCACUGUUGAGGACUCUGAGGAUACAAUGAUGAACAAAACCAGUGUAAUUCCUGUCUUCCUCUCCCCCACCCCACCAUUCACUUUCUAGGAGGAGGAAUCAGAAAAUAAACAACGAAUAAACAAUGCAAUCCCAGAGAGUGAUAAAUGCCAGGAGAAAACCAAAAAGAGUGGCCUGCUCGGACCAGGGGUAGUCCAGGGAUGCUUCUCAGAACAAAUGGCAUUUGAGCUGAGCCCUGAAGGGAAGGAGGGGACAGCUAUGCAGGAGCACUCUGGACAAGACGCACUUCAGGGCGAUGCUCCUAGGUGGCAUGAGCCUGGAGUCUUCGAGGAACAGAAAGGAGCCAGGCGGACCGGAGGGCCUUGAGGAGGGAGAGUGCGCAGGGUAAGCUGGAACCCAAGGCUGGCUCCAACUUUGUUGGGCUUGGAAGACAAAGCAGGGAGUUCGGAUUUUACUCUAAGAGCAUCCUGGAGUUAAGGGAUCUUUCAAAGCUGGCUGAGUGAAAGCCCACACACAACUUUGCCUUUGAAAAGUGGGGAUAAAAUGUGGUCUUGCUCUGUGUGUGUGUGUGUGCGUUGGGGUGGGGGGCGAUUUGUGUCUUGGUUUUUGCCUCGGCGUGACUUACAGACCUUUCCAUCCUGCAUCGGUGCCGGGAGAGCCCAGCUCCCUGCUGCUGUCACCAGAAUUCCAUCUUUCCAAGGAAAUCAGGCUUUCUCCUGCUAAGGAGUUCUGUCCAGGACUCUGAUAAAAGCAGUAUGUGAAGCUAAAUAACUCGUGUGAUUUUACACUUCAUUUCCUUGGGAUGCCAUUAGGAACAUCAAGCACUUCUGUCUUUAUUUGACACGAUUUCCUACCCUGUUCUGCCUUGGAACAGAAGAAAAAUGAAAAGAGAGAAAUGGUAUUGGGAAGUUGCAUUGGGAGUGGUAGGGCAGCUGUUUCAAGGCAGGGCUUUUGGAGUCCAGCAGAGGGAGAGGCUUCCGAAACAGGACAGAUGGCAGCCACCUUCCUAAGGGGUCACUGGUCAGCCUCACGUUCUCUGGCUCCUGUUCCAAGCCUCAGCAUUUCUGUCUAAUUGAUUUAGAAAUAGUGUAUUUAUUGGACAGAUGCCUAGAGAUCAUGUAGCCCAGAGAAGGGAAGCUGUUUGCCCAAGGUCACACAGCAGCUCAGUAGCAUAGUUUGGCCUUGCAGCUAGCUCUUUCGACUGCCAGAGCAGCCUGGAGCACCCCUUAGAGAAGAGUUAGUGUCUUCCCCAGGUCCCCUAUAAAGACCAGCACCUCCUGCAUUUGGUUCUCUGGGACAAUUGGUGUCUUUUCUCACUGUGGAGAUGUGAUCACUUAGAUCUUCAUUUAGUUCACAAGCAGGGGUGGAGCAGGGUGGGGUGCACAGGCUGGAGGGAACCAACGCAGGAAGCAUAUGACAGAGUAAAAACACAGCCCACCCGGCAUGCCGUGCCAUGUGCCCUCACUGCAUUGGAUGAAUGGGUCAGUAGGUGGAUGGUGGUCACACGUGAGUGCUGGCUUCACUCUCUUCUCUCCCAUAAUUUAAAGACCUGAAGUUUCACCUCCAGGAAGACUUCCUGGACUAGUGGAAGAUCAAUCUUUGGCCUGAACCGGUUGCCUAGGCAACUUCCACUGUUUCUGGACUCAUGAGUCCUUCUAGUAAGGGUCCCAGGACUGAGCCUCAAUGGCCUGAAGAGAGUCAUGUGCCCACACCUGUGACUACUUAGUGGCUAUCACCAGGGGUGUGAGGCUCAUCUGGUCUAGCCUGGUCACCUGCUCACGACAGAGCUAGAGCUGGACCAGGCCCUCCAGAUUUGUAGACUGAAGCAGCAAGGUGCUGUUCUGAGGAAAAUCAGGGUGCUGUUACCAGAACACCCUGGCAAGCAAGAAAGAGCAGCGAGCCCUACAGACGGCAAACAAGGAUUUCCUUAUCUCCUGGUCGGAACCACUAAGAACCGUGGAACCAUGUGUACUUAAUUCAUGUCUGUACUGUCCUCACGCGGAGUGAGGGCUUUGUAAAUAUUUGCUGAGUGAAUGAAAGAAUAAAUGAAUAGUAAAUGAAUGAAUGAA